AGGAUAAUUGUCAUAUCCACUACCGUACGGAAUCAAUUGAGAGCAUUCGAACUGUCGUGCCUUGAAUUCAUUAAUCAUUAAAGACUCAAAACCAAAUUGCAACGGGUCGAGAUAAGCAAUCCAGCGGAACCACCAUCCAACGUCGAUAUUAGGAAUAGCAUAACCAGUGUAAAUGGCAAUUGCAAGCACACCGAUACCACCCAAAGCAGAUGCAGAUUCAACAUUGGGCAUAAUUCCAGCUAAUGAUCGAAAAAAGGCAGACAUACAAGUAGCACCUAUGAAAAGGAACAAAAAGUAAGUCCAAAAUCCGCCAGCAGUCCUCUUUAAAUUUGUUAAAAAAUACAACACAAUUGAGAAAACCGAAAUAUUAAUGAAUCUGAAAGGUAGAUCGACAAUCAAGCUACUAAUAACAUCUGCAGCAGGAUGGUACAAAGCAGAAGCUCUAUGCUUAGCAAUGAUGGGUCGUUGGGAAAACAUAUUAGCGAUUUCAGAAAGACUCUGAAGUGCGCAAAACAGAAUAGAGAAGAAAAGAACACCACCACGUGAGAAUACAUCAACGGUGUUUAAUUUCAUAUCGUAGAAAA